rnacentral:rRNA from 1 species
UACGUAGGGUGCGAGCGUUGUCCGGAAUUAUUGGGCGUAAAGAGCUCGUAGGCGGUUUGUCGCGUCGGCCGUGAAAACUUGGGGCUUAACCCCAAGCCUGCGGUCGAUACGGGCAGACUUGAGUUCGGCAGGGGAGACUGGAAUUCCUGGUGUAGCGGUGAAAUGCGUAGAUAUCGAGAGGAACACCUGCGGCGAAGGCGGGUUGCUGGGCUGACACUGACGCUGAGGCGCGAAAGCCAGGGGAGCGAACGGG